rnacentral:hammerhead_ribozyme from 1 species
AUCCAACUGACGAGUCCCAAAUAGCACGAAACGAGCGUCAAACUGGAU